GACAGAGGGUGCAAACGUUGCUCGGAAUCACUGGGCGUAAAGGGCGUGUAGGCGGGUAGGCAAGUCGGGCGUGAAAUCCCUGAGCUCAACUCAGGAACUGCACUCCAAACUGCUUUGCUUGAGGCCGGGAGAGGUGAGUGGAAUUCCCAGUGUAGCGGUGAAAUGCGUAGAUAUUGGGAGGAGCACCAGUGGCGAAGGCGGCUCACUGGACCGGUUCUGACGCUGAUGCGCGAAAGCGUGGGGAGCAAACGGG
rnacentral:rRNA from 1 species